rnacentral:misc_RNA from 1 species
GAUGAAGAACGUAGCGAAAUGCGAUACGUAAUGUGAAUUGCAGAAUUCAGUGAAUCAUCGAAUCUUUGAACGCAUAUUGCGCUCUUUGGUAUUCCGAAGAGCAUGCUUGUUUGAGUAUCAGUAAACACCUCAACCUCUUCUUGAUUUUUCAAAAGGAGGGUGGACUUGAGCUAUCCCGACAACCUUUACCGGUCGGCGGGCGGCUUGAAAUGCAGGUGCAGCUGGACUUUUAUCUGAGCUAAAAGCAUAUCUAUUUAGUCCUCGUCAAACAGGAUUAUUACUUUUGCUGCAGCUAACAUAAAGGAUAAUUGUCCUCUUUGCUGACUGAUGCAGGAUUUUACGACACUUUAUGUGUUGUUCAACUCGAUCUCAAAUCAAGUAAGACUACCCGCUGAACUUAAGCAUAUCAAUAAGCGGAGGA